rnacentral:rRNA from 1 species
UACGUAGGGUCCGAGCGUUGUCCGGAAUUACUGGGCGUAAAGAGCUCGUAGGUGGUUUGUCGCGUUGUUCGUGAAAACUCACAGCUUAACUGUGGGCGUGCGGGCGAUACGGGCAGACUGGAGUACUGCAGGGGAGACUGGAAUUCCUGGUGUAGCGGUGAAAUGCGCAGAUAUCAGGAGGAACACCGGUGGCGAAGGCGGGUCUCUGGGCAACAACUGACGCUGAGGAGCGAAAGCGUGGGGAGCGAACAGG